rnacentral:rRNA from 1 species
GUUUAUAAUGAGUAGAAGAAUGUAGAAAUGUUAAUUAAUUUAAAUUAUUUAUUGAUGUAGUAUUAGUAGUAUAGAAAUGUUGUUGUAUAGAGUACUGUAAAGGAAAAUAUUGAUAUUAAUUUAUUAUAUAGUAGAAAUAUAUUUUUGUACCUUUUGUAUAAUGGGUUGAUGAUAGGUUUGUUUUUAUAAAAUGAUCUCGAAAUAGAAGGAUUUACUUAGUAAGAUAUAUGUUAACGUUGUAUAGUUAUAUAUUGAUUAUUAAGUGGUAAUGAAAUGUUUAUCGUUUUCUAUGAUAGCUAGUUUAUUGGUGUAAAAUAUUAAGUAUUGUAAUGUUAAAUAAAUAUGUGUUGUAUUAUAAAUAGUGUUAGUUUAUUGUACGGGGGAAAAGCUUCGUAUAAAAUGUGAUAAAAUUUUAUAUAUAUUGUAAACAAUUUGAGUAGAAUUAAUAAUGUUUUUCUUUAAAAGUAGUGUUAAAUAUUAUAUGUAGUUAAAAUUUAGGUUGGGAUAAUUAAUAAAUGUUUUUUAAUUAUAAAAAAUAAUUAUAAUGUUAAUAUGAGUAUUAAAGUGAAAUUAUUAUUAUAUUAUAAUUGUUAUAAAUGUAAAUGGUUAUAUAUUAUUAAUAUAAGUAAGUAAGUAAAGUAAAGGAAUUCGGCAAAUAAUAAUCUCGCCUGUUUAUCAAAAACAUGUCUCUUUGUUAAUUAUAAAUAUGGAGUUGGGCCUGCUCAGUGAAUUUAAAUUUCAACAGCUGCAGUAUUUUAACUGUACUAAGGUAGCAUAAUAAUUUGCCUUAUAAUUUGAGGCUGGAAUGAAUGGUUUGACGAAGGUUAAUCUGUCUCUAUUUUAUUUUUUAGAAUUUAAUUUUUAUAGUGAAAAAGCUUGAAUUUUUUAAAGGGACGAGAAGACCCUAUUGAGCUUAUAAUUUUAUUAUUACUAUUAUUAAUUGUGAUUAGUAAUAUAUAAAUUUUAGUUGGGGUGAUUAAGGAAUAAAUGUUAAUAGUAACUUCCUUAAAGUAAAUAUUGUUAGGUUAAGUAACCAAUAUGUUAUUGCUUAUAUUAUAGUUACCAUAGGGAUAACAGCGUAAUUUGUUUAGAGAGUUCUUAUUGAAAAAUGAGAUUGCGACCUCGAUGUUGGAUUAAAGUUACCUUAAGGUGUAGAAGCUUUAAUUAGGUAAAUCUGUUCGAUUUUUAAAACUUUACAUGAUCUGAGUUCAGACCGGCGUGAGCCAGGUUGGUUUUUAUCUUUUAAAAAUGUUAUUGUUUCUUUUAGUACGAGAGGACCAAAGAAGCUGAUAGUUAUUAUUAUA